rnacentral:lncRNA from 1 species
AAGGAGGGAGACAUCAAGCCUGUGAAAAUUUAGGAAACUUCCUGGACUAAAACUAACAUGCACAAAACAGCAACACCACCUACCCCUCCCAUUGCCUUCUUUAGAGUAAGUUCUCUGUUCUGAAGCCUUGGCACAGGCUGACAUCCUUCUUACAUAUUUUACUGAAUUGCAGGUAGGAGCUUGGUCUUUCUCAUCCUUGUAUCUUCUUCAGCUUCAGCAAUUGUACUUCAUCUACACUUGAAUUGCCAAGUGGCAUGGAGCUAUCAUUGCCCCAACACAUAUGAGUAAUACACAAAACUAGAGAAACAAAACUAGAGAACUAUGGAGCACAUUAAACUUUUAGCUCUGCGUUUUAUACUUGUAUGUAUUCUAGCAAUUAUGGUCGUACCCCUCUAUGAAUUUACACCAGCGUGUUCUCUUCUCUGUGAGGUAGAGAAAAGUGAAAGAGAAUUAGAUGUGAUAUAAAUUAGAUCAAUAGCUUGUAUGGAGAAACAUAUUAGGGGAAUACAUUUAUAUUCAUAAGUAAUUUUAUUAUCUCAUUUUCUGGUUUCACAUACCUAUAGUUAAAUGUCUUCACUGUGAAGACAAUAUCCGUGUCUUGAAAUAAUUUUCAUGAAUUCUCUUAUUUCCCAAGUGUGAGAAGAAUUAAUUCUUCAUGAUGUCAAAAUUAGAAAAUGGUUCCAAUGGUUAGGAUUACAAAACUCUUCCAUGUCCUAAUUAAGAACAUUGUUCUCUUAUGACUGAAUUAAUUUCACCAUGAAUGCAGCAUUAAGAUUAAUCUAGUGGAGGGAAUCUUAAGUUUCUAAUAAUUUAAUAUUACUUACAUUUUACCCAUAGAACACUAUUUAAAAUAAAAUCAUUUGAAAAACAUAGAAGUUGACAAAAUAUUAACCUAAAGCAUUAAAUGUAGAAUUUCCUCCUUUAUCACUCCAAAUUUCAAUGGAUUACAUGAAAUAAGUUGUUGGAAAAAAUUUAUUAAAUAGUAUCCCCCUGAAUAUACUAAAUAUACGUAUUUUACUAGACAAGUUUGAAUUAGAGAGACAAAGCUCCUAGGAAUGAUAAUGACUAGGGGAUUUACUAUAGGGAUUCCAACUUACACAUUUGUAGGAGUUGGUUAAACUAUAUAAACCUGCUUUUUUCUACAUUAGACACUGAGACUGAAGUCAGGAAGGCAGGCCAUUGGGAAGGAAAGAUGGUGAAGUGGGGAAGGAACAGGACACAUUGGAGCACAUAAGAGUGAGCUGGAACACAUGCAGGUCUCUUGUCAGCUCCAGCUCCCAACAUCAGUGCUAUUUCUGGCUAGAUGUGAAACUGGUGCCCUUUCCUGUGAAGCUAACCACAGCACUGGCCCAAGAGUCACAGAAGAUAAAGGAAGAGACCCAAGAGGAGUUGGACGAGCAAGUCCUGCUGCUGCUGCAGACGCUGCACACACUGGUCUAGGAUUUUGAGAAACUGAAGGAGGAGAUCCAGCUGUUGCUGGAGUGACUGUCAGCUGGCCCUGCUCCACUUAGACAAGGUGAGCCAGCCCAUCAGAAACAAUGUGCCUGAUUUGCAAUGGCACCCGAUGUCUUGCAUUGUAAUUGCAUUGACCUUCCCAGUAUAAAAGGAUAUGACUGUUGCUGCUUCUCUUCCACUUUUCAAAUGUCAUCUAAAGUAUCUCUUGCAGCCCACAGGAAUUUGGAAUUAUGCUAAAAAGUGGAUUCUGAGAAUCAUGUUUGUAACUUAAAUGAGCUUACACAGUGCAUAUCACCUUGCAUAUGUCAAAAUAAAAAAUGAAAUAAAAAUCGAUACAAUCUCUUCUUCUCCCUGGAGUAAAGACAGUAUCUUUUUUCUGAAUACUAUGUGUUCAUCAGUCUUCUCAUCACAGCUUCAGUGCCUGUAUCAGAUAACAUCUUAGGAAGUCUCAUCCAGGCUACCCUUCCUCCAGACACACUGGAUAUGAUCUUAAUUGCUAGAAUAUUAAGAGAAGAUAAUAAGAUAAGAAGGGAAGCAGCAACCAUAUGAUGUGAUAAUUGUGAGUCUGGGACCUGGAAGCUUUACAAAAGAUAUUGGGUAAUAAAGACUUGGAGACUUACAUGUUUAACUUCCUUAUCCAGAGUGAUCUGAUGGGCAUAUUUAUUAUGAUGAUGGUAAAGAUAUUAAGUUCAAAUUCAACCCCCAUCUGAGAGGACUGGAAGACUGUUUAAGUUGUCAGGGUAGCCUGACAAUGAACCAGGGCUGCAUACAAACCAUUAGUGAAAACUGCAAAGAUACAUGUAACACACAGGCAAAUAUACAAAGAGAACCUUGUAUGGAGUGUAAAAGAAGCAUACGCCUACAAACUGCUGGAGGCUUUGAAAGCAAUUUACCGAGAAAGCUUUUUACAGUGGCCCACUUUGGAGCCAUCGAUAAUUAACUAAACAAAUAUUUCAGAGUGUAUCCAACUGGUUUCAGCCAAUUUCCUUAGGGAGUUGUGAUACUUUAAAUUCCAUAUAAUGAUACUGUUGGAUCAGUGUCUUCAGCUGCAGUAUGUAAGCACACAGGACUUGAUUCAUGAUCAUAUGGGUAAUAAUUUGAGAUCAAUAUUUUAAAUAAUGUAAUAGAAAACCAGCAAGGAAUCUCUCACAAGUAAUAAAUAGCGCUUGAGCCUUAGUUGUGGGUAUAUGGAGUCAUUAUGAAUUCUGCCAAGUAUAUAGAUUUAUGCUUAUACAAAUUACUGAGUGAUAAAAGACAACAUUUCUCAUAAUAGCAAUAUGGUUUCAUAACCUAUCCAAGAGCAUAGGUUUCUUCAUGUAGGACACCAAGAAACCAAAGCAUUAUUCUAACCACUUAUUCAUAAUAGGUCUGACUUUAGCAGCUGAUAUUUCUGCCUUGCAGAGACUCUGUUUUUCCCAGUCUUGAGAUGAGAUGUGAAGCUUGUCUUAUUCACACUGCGUGGCAUAUGGAAAGAAGCUCAGGCUUUAGAGGCAGAAAUACAUCUGCUCGAGGGAUCUGCUUAGUGCUAGUUUCUGCUUCUGUAAAAUGCGAAU